CGCGUAGGCGGCCGAUCAAGUCGGAGGGUGAAAUCCCCUCGGCUCAACUGAGGAAUUGCCUUCGAUACUGUUCGGCUUGAGUCCUGGAGAGGGUAGCGGAAUUCCCGGUGUAGCGGUGAAAUGCGUAGAGACCGGGAAGAACACCAGUGGCGAAGGCGGCUACCUGGACAGGUACUGACGCUGAAGCGCGAAAGCUAGGGGAGCAAAC
rnacentral:rRNA from 1 species